UACGGUGAAUACGUUCCCGGACCUUGUACACACCGCCCGUCAAGCCAUGGAAGCUGGGUGUACCUAAAAGUCGGUAACCGCAAGGAGCCGCCUAGGGUAAAACUAGUAACUGGGGCU
rnacentral:rRNA from 1 species